rnacentral:rRNA from 1 species
AGUGAACGCUGGCGGCGUGCCUAACACAUGCAAGUCGAGCGGAGUUAUUUAUGAAGUUUAUAUAUAACUAAGCGGCAAACGGGUGAGUAACACGUAGAAAACCUACUUCAAAAUGGGGAAUACCUUUGAGAAAUUAAAGUUAAUACCGCAUAAUACCACAGUGUGGUCAUCACAUUAUGGUUAAAGCUUUUUGCGUUUUGAAAUGGUUCUGCGGCCUAUCAGCUAGUUGGUAAGAUAAUGGCUUACCAAGGCUAUGACGGGUAUCUGGCCUGAAAGGGUGAACAGACACACUGGAACUGAGACACGGUCCAGACUUCUACGGAAGGCAGCAGUGGGGAAUCUUGGACAAUGGGGGAAACCCUGAUCCAGCGACGCCGCGUGGAGGACGAAGGCUUUCGAGUUGUAAACUCCUUUUAGAGAGGAAGACAAAUGACGGUACUCUCAGAAAAAGCCACGGCUAACUACGUGCCAGCAGCCGCGGUAAUACGUAGGUGGCAAGCGUUACUCGGAAUUACUAGGCGUAAAGUGUAUGUAGGCUGUUAAAUAAGUCUUUAGUAAAAGAUUUUGGCUCAAACCAAAAAUAGUCUAAGGAUACUGUUUAACUUAGAGUUUGAGAGAGGGAGAUGGAAUUCCUGGUGUAGCGGUGGAAUGUGUAGAUAUCAGGAGGAACGCCAAUGGCGAAAGCAAUUUCCUGGUUCAUUACUGACGCUGAAAUACGAAAGCUAGGGGAGCAAACAGGAUUAGAUACCCUGGUAGUCCUAGCUGUAAACGAUGUUCACUAGAUGUGGGAGGUAUCGACCCCUUCUAUAUCGUAGCUAACGCAUUAAGUGAACCGCCUGGGGAGUACGACCGCAAGGUUGAAACUCAAAGGAAUUGACGGGGGCCCGCACAAGCGGUGGAGUAUGUGGUUUAAUUCGACGCAACGCGAAGAACCUUACCUGGGCUUGAACUGUUAAUGGUAAGAAUCAGAAAUGAUAAUGACUCGCAAGAGAGUUAACAGAGGUGCUGCAUGGUUGUCGUCAGCUCGUGUCGUGAGAUGUUGGGUUAAGUCCCGCAACGAGCGUAACCCUUAUCCUAUGUUACCUGUAGCAAUACAGGGUCUCUUAGGAAACUGCCAUUGAUAAAAUGGAGGAAGGUGAGGAUAACGUCAAAUCAUCAUGGCCCUUAUGUCCAGGGCUACACACGUACUACAAUGGUCGGUACAGAGGGUCGCAAUAUCGUAAGAUGGAGCCAAUCCAUAAAAGCCGAUCUCAGUUCGGAUUGUGGGCUGCAAUUCGCCCACAUGAAGUAGGAAUCGCUAGUAAUCGCAGAUCAGCAGGCUGCGGUGAAUACGUUCCCGGGCCUUGUACACACCGCCCGUCACACCACGAAAGUCAGCUGUAACAGAAGUCGUUGAGUUAACCGUAAGGAGACAGACGCCUAAGUUAUGGUUGGUAAUUGGGGUG